AACGAGGAUGGAGGGUCUGGGCCCGCGGCCCGGGGCUGAGGAGGGAUGGAACGAGGAGAGGUUCGGGGUCCCUGCACCUGGACUCUCCCCAGCCCAGUGAUGGCUCCCAGCUCUGCUGGGCCUCAAACCAGAAGAAAUGGGACAGGGCCAGAGACAAAAUCGAGGACAGGGGAAGGGGCAGAGUGUAAAAUAAGAAUACAGAGACAAUAAGAAACUUUGUGAGAAUGCCUGAUACAUGGAAUGGGCCAUCCACCUGUGAGUGGAAGAAGGCUGCUGGACUGGGAGCCUGAUGUGGGCUGCCGCCACCCAGACGCGUGGCCUGUGUGACUGACCAGCAGGUGCCUGAGGGAAGAGCAGCCAGUGCCUGCGUGGAAACACGCGUGCACACACAGCGGCCCAAAACGUUCAGACACAGACAACGCUGUCGUUGACACACGCCGCAGGCCUGCACACACACCUAGAGGAAGGCCUAUCCACGCUCCUGGACACACCUGCCUCCUCCCCAAGAGACACAGGGAGGCUCACCUGGGACUCUGGCGCCAGUGCUCGGCAGGGUGACUGGAAGGAGUUGGGGGUGGAUUCAGAACAUAGGUACCUCUGUGACAGUGGCCUGGCUCCCACUCCUGCCCCCAAAGCCACCUGUUGCCUGAGUUCCCCAGGAUGCGAAAAACCAGACGCUUGACGUCUUUGCGCAGGAGAGAGGAAUUCAAGUUGAUACUUCAGACUCUGCCCACUUGGCGGCCAGUGCAGUUUCAAGUAGGCUGUCACUGGGCAACCUCGGCUCACUUGGACUUGCUGUCAAAAGUCCCCCAUGGCACUCUCUGGUUCUGACAGAUUCCUGCUCAGAGGAAGUAGGGGUGGGGGCGGCAGGAACAAGGUGGGAACAGCCCUUCACCAGGAUAGAGGGAUCUGGGCUUGGAAUCCUGGAGGGCUCCAGGCUCACGGUCCCUCACUCCCACCCCCACCUUACUGACCUCGGGGACAACCAUCUCUGUGUGCCAAGCUGAGGCUGUGGGUAGGCAAAGGUGAGCCAGCAGAGAAAAGGACACAGGACCCGUCCUUGGGCACUCCUAGCCUGACAGGCAGUGUGUAAGAGUGUAUGUGUCAGUGCAAGUGAGUGUCUUGUACCCAAAGCAGGGGCAGAGCUUCAGGUCUGAUGGGGACACUUGGCUCCUACUUCCAGUGAGCCAAUCUGAGGGUAAAGUAGACACACACAUCUAUAUUUAACAGAGUAACAGCAACAGGCACAGGGCCAUCCCAGGUGGGGGUUGCCAGGGCCCAGGGGGUUGGGAUGUUGGAUGCUGCAGUGGCAACCUUAGAGUCACAGGAGUCCCAUCAGAGAAGGCUUCCUGGAGAAUGUGAGUACAGGUGGAAGAGGGUUUAGAAGGAGAGAUUGGGCAAGGAGGAGAAACAGGGAGAAAACGGUCUUUUGAAGGCCUAAUGCCUGUAAGGAGAACAGGCCCAGAGGGUGGAAGAAAUGACACGAGCUCAUUGUCCGCACAUGAAGGCAGAAAAGAAAACCAACCCUUCCCUGCCAUCUGCAUGGGCCUGGGGCCCGCACUCACAGGCAGGCAGGCAAGCAGCCAGUGGGAGAUGGCAGCCCAGAUAACCUGCCUUGUGAAGAGACAACAAGAGAGAAGCCACAGACUUAACCACUCACAAACAGGAAGUCCAGAAGGCGGAGCAGGCCCGCCCUCCAGUAAGCUACGGUUGGGGACAGGCCUGGCCACAAAGGAGGGAAACUGAGCCCCUAGCAUUGCAAAAUGGGGCUAGAGCAAAUUGGAGUCAAUAGUCCCAAAUGUCGAGACCCUUCCCCAUCUCCCUGGAGGGGCAACCAAGGGAAGCAGGUGCCAAGAGAGGGAAGUGCCUUAAGAAUCUAAGACAGCCCAUGUCCCCUACAGAGGUCAUCUCAGCACCUCAGAAGAUCUCUGUCUCAUCUCAGAGCCUUGGGAGCACAAGGAGUGCUGAAGGGCCUCCAGGCAAGGAGGGCGGACAAGGUGGCUGCCUCUCAGCUCCUACCAGGUCGGCCCAGACUCCCCUAGGUUUAAUUUCACACUCUCCUGCUCUACUCUGUCUGGCAAGCGGCAGCUCCAGUGCACAGUGGCCCACACUAGGAGGUCACUUUGCACUGGGACAGGGUUCUGGCUCAGGUCUCCUGGGAUCAUAAGAUCCAAGGACUUUUAAGCAGCAAGGUUAGGCAGCAACUGGUCCCAAGUCAGGAAACAGAGCUGCAAGCCCAGAGAGAGGCAGAAAGCAGCCUGCGGUCAGAAAACAAGUGAGGGCCAAGUUGGGUUCUUUCCACAACAUCUGGGAAAAGGCAGGAUGGGCUGGGUGGAAAGGGGGUGUGGGUGUGAGGAAGGCUACCCUGACCAUUGCUGUGGGAGUGGCCAUGAAACCAGAAGCUUUCUCCUCUGGGAUCUCCUAGGGACACAAGUGGAGAAAUGAGAGAAAGCUCCCUCUGGACUCUCCACACACAGGUGCCGGCUUUAACUUGCAUAGCUGCACCUGCUCCAGUUCCAACUGCUGCAAAUAAAUUUUGUGUGUGUGUGGUGGGGGCGGGGAGGGGGUCCAAGAGCUGGUUUUCUGCCUGAAACCCACUACGAUCCCUCAUCAGCCCAGCUCCCUAUCCCAACAUCAGGAUCACCAAGCAGUGGAUAAAACUCAGUGUCAAGAAACUAGGGGUCUAGUCCUCACCCUGUGAUUAUAUGUGGUACAAUUCUGGGCCAGUCACUGAAUCGACCCCUAAACCCAGCCUGUUUCUUCACCUAUAAAAAUGGGGAGUUGACCAAAACACCUGUUUGUGCUCUAGGAAGUCCCCAAGAGUAUAGGAGGCCAGGGACCUCGCAGGAGGAAGCAGCAGUAUCUGUGUUCCAAAUCCUGCCCAGCCCCCGGGGCAGCCAUGGAAUCUUCCCAGCUGGCUUGAGGGCACACCUCCCAAAAUGCAGAGAAGGCAGGGUGGCUAGGAAGGGCUCUAGUAGAAUUCUCCCCUUAUCUUGUCUGGAAACAAGGGGCAAAGGGCUAUCUAUUUCCUCCUGCCAUCCUCCUGCCCCCAACAGGAUUCCUCACAUCCCAGGCCCAGCUGGAAAAGGCGGUGAGAGUUGGAAAGAGACUGCUCAGUGAGGACUGCCCUGUCAACCUGCUUGGAUUCAUCCCAUCCACCUCCACGUUCUGCACACGGGGCAGGGGGAAGGGAGGCAGCCCAGGCAGCCAGAGAACUUGAUGAAACACACUCAAUCUGAAUCUCACUUGAUCGUCAUGCUGACCCAGUGAGUCUGCUCACGGUCAGGCACCCUUUCCGACUACUCACUCAGCUGCGAAUCCCCACCCGCCUCUGACUCCCAGCGUCUUUCGGCUCCAACGUAAGUUCACCGAAUGUCUAAGAGCUGAGGAUUCAAAGGCAUGUAAGACCCCCCGUGCCCUCAGCUGCAAGACCUGCCCGCGAUCCUACGAGCCCCGUUCCGCCCUCCUUCCCCGACCUUGGUCCCCCAUGGUCCCUACAACCAAGUCCCCGACUGACACCUUGACCAGCGAACACAGCAAACAGGCCCGCAGAUGCCGCAGGUCCUUCGGCACUGUCUCCAGGGCCAUCUUCUCCGAUGGGAAGAGCAACAGGGAGAUACACUGCCACAGGCUGCGCACCCGCAGGAAGUAAAUAGCUCGUUACCCAGAAUGCCCGCCACUUCUGGCGCUCAGACUUCCUCUUCCGGUGUGGGAGGGCGCCUGCUCCGCCCCUACCCCCGCCAGAGGAGAUGGUUUCUCCCACCGGCAGGCGGGGAGGCGGGGCGGUCGGCCGCCACCUGGGCUGGGGCGCGUCCCCGCCACCUGAGCCCGCCAAGGGCGCGGCGGAGGCUGUGUAGGGUAGUUAGCGGGCCCCCGAGGGGCGGGGCGGGGCGGGGUGGGUGGCUGCGCUUGCGCGGGAGUUCGUCGGCCUGAGCCGCAGCGACGCGACGCGGGCCGUUUGAUCUGGGGUGCCGGCACUGGGGCGCCGGUCCCGUUCCCGAUGGUAACCCGAAGUUUUUUGUUUUGUUUUGUUUUGUCUUUCCGUUUUAGAAGCACUGGGGGCAGUGAAUCCACUGUCUCCCUCUGGAUUAUCUCUGCAGAGACCCGUAACAAAUCCAGGGACAGCCCCACCCCUCCUUCCUAACUGCCAGAGCCCUAUAGGGUUUCCACUUGCUUCCCACAGGAAUGCUGGCCUGCGAGCUACGGCGGAAAACAUGCGUAUUUAUCUUUUAAAACUCCGUCUGUUUGCUCGUUCCGGCUGAUAAUUUAUACUUUGCGCAGUUCUUAGCACUUAGACACGGUUCCUUUACUAAAGAACAUUUGUAGGAGAUUAGGUGUCCUUUUUUUCCCUUUCAUUUCACCGUAUAGGAAGCGAAAUGCCUUGUUCUACAGGCACCAAACCACCACCCCUACCAAACCUUUCUCGGGGAAGCAGAAGGGGAACUUGUGUCGUGUGAGGAAGCGACAGAGGCCCCUUCUGGCCCUGGGGACUUCAUGCCAGCGGAGCACCAGCUCUCUCUGUCCUCGCCAUAGCCCGAGUGCAGGCAGAACGCAGUCAUUUGUGUUUAUCUGAGAGGAGCUUUGGGAUAUAAAUAGUUUCAGGCCCCGCUGUUCUAUCCUUCCAGCCCAGCCUCCUGAUUGAAACUGAGCUGCUUCCGGGCAGGCUUGCUUCUUGUUGCCGGUCCCAUGCUGUGUUCAGAUGGGCUCUGUGACAGGUUUGGAUGUUUUCUAUCACUGAAUAAAACUUUACACUUUGGAACAU